CUCUGCCAUGAUGCUGGUGACGACCCAUGUAAAUGCUGUAUAUUUCUUUUUCAAAUUCCUUCAGCAUAGUUGAUGGCAUAUAAUAUAACGUUUCUGCUUUUAUAGAAUCUUAAGUCUCAGGUUUACAUCAUUAUGACUAAAUUACUUCUCCCAGUUGUUUACAGAUAGCACGGGCAUUUGGGCUUCUGAAAUUAUUGUUGUUGAUGUUCAAGAUGAUAAACUUCGCAAUGCAAAGAUGCUAGGAGCAACUCACACAAUAAAUGCAGCAAAAGAAAAUGUCGUUGACAAGAUAAAGCUCAAUUGGUUUUCUUCAAAAAUGGUGAAGGGAAAGUGAUAUGUAUCCUUGUCGUGGUGGCGGUGUUUUUGAACUUGUUGUACUUCUAUGGAAUGUGUGGUGUAGUGAAUGAUUGCUUGCUUCAACGGUACUUUAGCAAUUCCUCUAGUGGUGGUUCGCCCUCGAAUAUAAUUACAGAAGAUGCGCAGGAGAAGUUAUCGAUAUAGCUGUUGGAUGUGCAGGUGGACUAUUGAUACUCGCAUCCAUUUUCUAUCUAUGGUGGAUGAAGGAAUCACCUGGCCAUAUGCGAGUGUAUACAGACUCACCAAGAUUUGCACUUUCAGCAUUAUUGUAAUUGUAAUUGAAUUAUUGAA